rnacentral:lncRNA from 1 species
UUCGAUCAAUUUCAUCUCAUUCAGAGUUCUUGCUUGGAAUGUGCUAUUCUUGGGUCAAUUGCAUUCAGUCACAUUAAGUUGAGCACAAGCACAUGCCAUGGAAAAAAAAGAAAGAAACUUGAAUGGCUCAAGUUGUCACAGAGUGGAACUCCAAUAAGUACUCCAAGAUAGAAUUUCAGGAAUAUCAUCCUCAUGUGGUUUUCAACCCAAGCACAAAUUGAAAGAACAUUGAAACCUUAAGAUAUUAUCACUGAAUUAUUGCCAAAUUAGACAAAGAGUACACUAUUUUGAAGGUGCUAACUUCAGAUGGAGUACACACUAUUUUGUCAAACAAGCUUUGUUCUUGGCACAAGCACAAGCUUCUAGUGCUGUUGAAUUGAAGUGACUGGAGCAUCAAUCGGCUUCUACUAUGGUAGAGUUCCUAAGCUGCUUCAAAACUUAUCUUAAAAACUUGUAUGGACUUCACUUCUGCCUAGGCACCUGAACUGCCGCUUGAUUCAAUGGAUAGCUGUUACUGUUAGACAACACUUGCAUCUAACAUUUGUAUCUGACAUUUGCAUUGGUAGUACACACUCUCUCUCUCUCUCUCCUUUUUACGUUGGUAUCUGACAUUUCCAUUUUCUGUCAUAUUUUCAGCUGUUCUGAAGAAUACAAGUCUGAAGAGCUACUUUCAGGUCAGUGAAACCACACUGACAACCAUUUUAGAAACAGAAUUGAAUUGCCCUGAUUACCGCUUGAUGCCUUGAAGCAUAUACAAUCAAAGUUCAAACAGAUGUGGCCAUCAUAUAUGUAUAUGUAGCACAGUUUGAUUCCUCUUUGCUAGUCAAAAGAUGGUAUCAUCAAUCAAUAAUAGUUACAGUAUUGAUUCCAUGGAGUAGUAGGAUUACAACAAUUAAGGACGAUGAAGAGAAAGGGGUGGCUGGCGAUACACAUAGAGAGGCAAAGCAGGGGGUAGCUUAGUUACAACUUACAAACGAAGCUCUGAUCGAUCAAGUCUGAUUUGAUUGAUGCAGCUGAAGAAGAAGAGGAAGAAGACGACGAUGAUGAUGCAAUCAGCUGCUGACGUACUUGUCGAUGAUGGUGGCGAGGGUGGUCUUGGGGACGGCGCCGAUGACGCUCUCCU